rnacentral:misc_RNA from 1 species
GAUGAAGAACGUAGUGAAAUGCGAUAAGUAAUGUGAAUUGCAGAAUUCAGUGAAUCAUCGAAUCUUUGAACGCACCUUGCGCCCUUUGGCCAUUCCGAAGGGCAUGCCUGUUUGAGUAUCAUGAACACCUCAACUCUUCAUGGUUUUCCAUGAUGAGCUUGGACUUUGGGGGUCUUGCUGGCCUGUGGGUCGGCUCCUCUCAAAUGAAUCAGCUUGCCGGUUUUUGGUGGGCAUCACAGGUGUGAUAACUAUCUACGCUUGUGGUUUUCCACCAGGGUAACCUUCAGCAGUGGAGGUUCACUGGAGCUUACAAAUGUCUCUCCUCUGUGAGGACAGCCCUUUGAAUGUUUGAUCUCAAAUCAGGUAGGACUACCCGCUGAACUUAAGCAUAUCAAUAAGCGGAGA